AGUGAACGCUGGCGGUAGGCCUAACACAUGCAAGUCGAACGGCAGCACAGUAAGAGCUUGCUCUUACGGGUGGCGAGUGGCGGACGGGUGAGGAAUACAUCGGAAUCUACUUUUUCGUGGGGGAUAACGUAGGGAAACUUACGCUAAUACCGCAUACGACCUACGGGUGAAAGCAGGGGAUCUUCGGACCUUGCGCGAUUGAAUGAGCCGAUGUCGGAUUAGCUAGUUGGCGGGGUAAAGGCCCACCAAGGCGACGAUCCGUAGCUGGUCUGAGAGGAUGAUCAGCCACACUGGAACUGAGACACGGUCCAGACUCCUACGGGAGGCAGCAGUGGGGAAUAUUGGACAAAGGGGGCAAGCCUGAUCCAGCCAUACCGCGUGGGUGAAGAAGGCCUUCGGGUUGUAAAGCCCUUUUGUUGGGAAAGAAAAGCAGCAGGUUAAUACCCCGCUGUUCUGACGGUACCCAAAGAAGAAGCACCGGCUAACUUCGUG
rnacentral:rRNA from 1 species